UACGGAGGGGCUAGCGUUGUUCGGAAUUACUGGGCGUAAAGCGCACGUAGGCGGCUUUGUAAGUUAGAGGUGAAAGCCCGGGGCUCAACUCCGGAAUUGCCUUUAAGACUGCAUCGCUAGAAUUGUGGAGAGGUAAGUGGAAUUCCGAGUGUAGAGGUGAAAUUCGUAGAUAUUCGCAAGAACACCAGUGGCGAAGGCGGCUCACUGGCCCGAUACUGACGCUGAGGCACGAAAGCGUGGGGAGCAAACAGG
rnacentral:rRNA from 1 species